UACGUAGGGUGCGAGCGUUAAUCGGAAUUACUGGGCGUAAAGCGUGCGCAGGCGGUUUUGUAAGCCAGAUGUGAAAGCCCCGGGCUUAACCUGGGAAUGGCAUUUGGGACUGCAAGGCUUGAGUGCGGCAGAGGAGACUGGAAUUCCUGGUGUAGCAGUGAAAUGCGUAGAUAUCAGGAGGAACACCGGUGGCGAAGGCGGGACUCUGGGCCGAUACUGACGCUGAGGAGCGAAAGCGUGGGGAGCGAACAGG
rnacentral:rRNA from 1 species